UGGGGAAUAUUGGACAAUGGGGGAACCCUGAUCCAGCAAUGCCGCGUGUGUGAAGAAGGCCUGAGGGUUGUAAAGCACUUUUCAGAGGGGAGGAGGACUAUUAGGUUAAGAGCUAGAUAGUUGGACGUUACCCUCAGAAGCAGCACCGGCUAACUCCGUGCCAGCAGCCGCGGUAAUACGGGGGUGCAAGCGUUAAUCGGAAUUAUUGGGCGUAAAGCGCACGUAGGCGGAUAGUUAAGUCAGGGGUGAAAUCCUGGGGCUCAACCCCAGAACUGCCUUUGAUACUGGCUGUCUCGAGGUCGAGAGAGGUUGGUGGAAUUCCUAGUGUAGAGGUGAAAUUCGUAGAUAUUAGGAAGAACACCAGUGGCGAAGGCGGCCAACUGGCUCGAUACUGACGCUGAGGUGCGAAAGCGUGGGGAGCAAACAGGAUUAGAUACCCAAGUAGUCCCUGAGCGGGCUGGCAAGGCGCAU
rnacentral:rRNA from 1 species